AUGCUGUCAAUGGAUCAUUGUCUACUUUCUUUGGUGUUUCUAUCCAUUUUAACAGGUGUCAGCUGUGAAGAACUCACUCCAGUCAACAAUGAAGAGUUCAGUUUAGAAGGCAGCUCUGUUACUCUGUCCUACAAUUACUCCAAAGAAGCUGAUGGUUAUGAUCAUUUCUUCUGGUAUCGACAAUAUCCAGGAAAACCACCAGAGUUCCUCAUGUACAUCUCAGGCAGUAACAUCACAAAAACAGCAGACUCUCUGAAGUCAGAAAAAAGAUUCUUAACUGAACUAUAUGAUAAAAAGCGUGGAGUCAAACUGCAGAUCUCCUCUGCUGCAGUGACAGACUCUGCUGUGUACUACUGUGCUCUGCGGCCCACAGUG